rnacentral:lncRNA from 1 species
GUUUGAUUGGAACGACGAAGAAGCUGUCCUAUUCCCAAACUGGGAAACUGGAAUCACCUGAUUUUAAAGUGGGAUAACUUCUUCUUGCCAACUCCUAUGAGAUUUAUUCAACUUCCUGGUGAUUCUCCACCACUUUAUGUAUCCAAAUCAAGCUUCUUACAAAGUGAUUCAUCUUAGUUUGAUUGGAACGACGAAGAAGCUGUGCU